GAUGAACGCUAGCGGGAGGCCUAACACAUGCAAGCCGAGCGGUAUUGUUUCUUCGGAAAUGAGAGAGCGGCGUACGGGUGCGUAACACGUGUGCAACCUGCCUUUAUCUGGGGGAUAGCCUUUCGAAAGGAAGAUUAAUACUCCAUAAUAUAUUGAACGGCAUCGUUUAAUAUUGAAAGCUCCGGCGGAUAGAGAUGGGCACGCGCAAGAUUAGCUAGUUGGUGAGGUAACGGCUCACCAAGGCGAUGAUCUUUAGGGGGCCUGAGAGGGUGAUCCCCCACACUGGUACUGAGACACGGACCAGACUCCUACGGGAGGCAGCAGUGAGGAAUAUUGGUCAAUGGGUGCAAGCCUGAACCAGCCAUCCCGCGUGAAGGAUGACUGCCCUAUGGGUUGUAAACUUCUUUUGUAUAGGGAUAAACCUACCCUCGAGAGGGUAGCUGAAGGUACUAUACGAAUAAGCACCGGCUAACUCCGUG
rnacentral:rRNA from 1 species